rnacentral:lncRNA from 1 species
ACUCAUUUCGUCCUGCCACCUUGUCGAGAACUGCUUGCUUCUCCUUUGCCUUCUGCCAUGACUGAUCUAUCCACCCAGUGUAACUACCGGGCUCUUGGCUUUUACUGGGGAGUGUCUUUAAAGAGUACUGUGAUGUGAUCCAUCUUCAGAUCUCUCAGCUGUGGACACUGGAACCUACUCUUGUGGAGGAAGCAGCAUGCAUUUGUAUGUGAGUGCCAGUGCGGGUCAUCACAGCUUGCAUCCAUUUCAAGUCUUCAUCUAACAUACAGAAGAAAAAACACUGAUUUUGACAACCACCCAUAGAUGACAGUACGUUUUGGGAGGCCAGGAGUCCAGUGGUAAGGUCCCAGCAUACCACUGGAGCAAAACAUCUGAGAAUACACACGUUAAAGAAGGUCUUCAGAUUGAGAGGAGCAGAACAUGAGGUACUGAACUCAAGAGGUCUCACGUGCACUUGGACCUGAUUUACAUGACAAGGUUCUGGCCUGAUUCAGUAACAUGAUACAAUCUUAUGUGGGGUAUUGGGAGGUUGAGUAUGUAUUUUUCAUGGGGAAGAAUGUAAAUAAUCCAUGGAAUAAAAAAUAUGACUUUUAAAA